GGGAAGGUGGCUCAGUGGUAAAGUGCUUGCUUUGCAUGCAUGAGGCCAUGGGUUCGAUUCCUCAGUACCA
rnacentral:tRNA from 1 species